UUCCUCUCCUCUGAGUGGUCUGAAAAGCUUCAGACUUGCUCACCUGAAGAAUUUCCUGGAACCCAACCCUUCUACCUUUUCAGUUUGUGACCCCGUCCUCACUGUCCGUGACCUGUAGCGGCUUGUUCCGCUUUGUGCCCUGCACGUCCCUCUGCUCAGGGGAGCGGCUCUGAGGGCUGAUCCGCGGGCCGACAGCGUGCCGCAUUCCUGUCGCCUCUCACGCCCUACCUGCUGCACAUUUUCUGCCUUCUGUGUCACCACGGGACGAGAACUAGGCUGGCAAGGACAGACCUCUAACAACAACAACAAGUUGUUGGAGGUUUGCAGAGAAAGGAGAAAUUACAAGAUGGACCUCUUGAAGAGUGGCAGAGUAAAUUGUAUCAGAAAAUGUUGAAUGAGGUUCAAGUGGCAGUGUCGAGGCCCCACGUCAGAUGGACCAUUUUGAAGCAAAUCCAAGACAGUGAAUCAUUCUAUUCAUAAUAUUUUAGUAUGUAUCUCUAAAAGGGCACAGGGUAACCUGAGAUGCUGCAUUUGACCAGUGUUUCUUGUUCAUACCUAUUCAGUACUAUCUGUGAAUUCAACAUAGAAGGAAGGACAUGAGCUGCAGAAGCACCACCAGGCCCAUAGGAAGCUCACUGAAUAAAAAACAAGUGAAGCCAAACACUGGUAUGAUCUAGCAGAGCCCUGUGGCCUAAUGUCCUGAGCUCAGGUCUACAACUCAGAAAUUCAUGGAUUUCUAGUCCCUGCCAGACCACUGCUUUUGGUAAACAGAGGGAUGAUGGUUCCUCCGUGAAGAUGGAGUGUGAGCUGUAAUAAAGGCCAGCCACACAGAAC